GGGCGUGUAGCUCAGCUGGGAGAGCGCUUCCUUCGCAAGGAAGAGGGAAGCGCUAAGGCGGCUGUCUGUUUAGCCGCCGACGCGAGUGAGCAAGGAAGAGGUCGAGGGUUCGAAUCCCUUCACGUCCACCA
rnacentral:tRNA from 1 species